rnacentral:misc_RNA from 1 species
GCUACUGGGUGAAAGUCUCUACCCUUUAGUGGAUCUGAUGGAGCAUGAUUCAGCAGCAAAGGUUACAGGCAUGCUUCUGGAAAUGGAUCAGACUGAGGUUUUACACCUGCUUGAAUCACCAGAGGAGUUAAAGGCAAAAGUAGCAGAGGCCAUGGAGGUUCUAAGUAGCGUUGCUGGACAGCAGCAGGCAAACAACCCUGAUGAUCAGCUUGCCUCACUAUCCCUAAAUGAUGGCCUUGUCUCGUGAAGUAUGUUUUGGGUGAAUUAAACAGGUGCAUAAAGUGGGUUUAUGCAAUUUUUAGAGCUAGUUUUAUUGGCAAAGCAGAUCUAAAUUCAAUUCUAUAUUGGGUUACGUAGGCGUACAUAGGUUGUUGGGAAUCUGAACUUAUAUUUGCUUCAUUAUUGGUAUUUGGUAGGAUUCUUAAUAUUUGGUAGAAUGAGAUACAUUUUUCAUUCAGAUGAUUUGAAUUGCCAUGUUGACUGGUUUGCACAGAUGUUAUAAUAAUGAAACAUUUGGUUUGUCCGAGAUUACCUCAUAUUUUGUUGCAGCGAUGUUUGUGAUUGUUGUUUAGCUCAAUUUAUAAUGGCAAUCUUGGCUGAUU